GAUGAAGAACGCAGCGAAAUGCGAUAAGUAGUGUGAAUUGCAGAAUUCAGUGAAUCAUCGAAUCUUUGAACGCACAUUGCGCCCCUUGGUAUUCCAUGGGGCAUGCCUGUUCGAGCGUCAUUUGUACCUUCAAGCUUUGCUUGGUGUUGGGUGUUUGUCUCGCCUUUGCGUGUAGACUCGCCUUAUAAUAAUUGGCAGCCGGCGUAUUGAUUUCGGAGCGCAGUACAUCUCGCGCUUUGCACUCAUAACGACAGCGUCCAAAAGUACAUUUUACACUCUUGACCUCGGAUCAGGUAGGGAUACCCGCUGAACUUAAGCAUAUCAAUAAGCGGAGGA
rnacentral:misc_RNA from 1 species